UUCGAUGCAACGCGAAGAACCUUACCUGGUCUUGACAUCCACAGAACUUUCCAGAGAUGGAUUGGUGCCUUCGGGAAACUGUGAGACAGGUGCUGCAUGGCUGUCGUCAGCUCGUGUUGUGAAAUGUUGGGUUAAGUCCCGCAACGAGCGCAACCCUUAUCCUUUGUUGCCAGCGGUCCGGCCGGGAACCCAAAGGAGACUGCCAGUGAUAAACUGGAGGAAGGUGGGGAUGACGUCAAGUCAUCAUGGCCCUUACGACCAGGGCUACACACGUGCUACAAUGGCGCAUACAAAGAGAAGCGACCUCGCGAGAGCAAGCGGACCUCAUAAAGUGCGUCGUAGUCCGGAUUGGAGUCUGCAACUCGACUCCAUGAAGUCGGAAUCGCUAGUAAUCGUGGAUCAGCAUACUGCGGUGAAUACGUUCCCGGGCCUU
rnacentral:rRNA from 1 species